AUGGGGAAACAACAUGUUUUCACCGAUCAAACAAAUGACACAUUUUUUUCUGAUAAUUGAUCACAUGGUUAAUGUUAAUUCUGAAAAAAAAAAUCCGAUAGGAUGUUCGCAUCCCCGUGAGUGAACGAAACAUUUCCCAAAUCAAGAUUUAAAUAGUAAAAAAAACAAUUCCUUCAACGUCUUUUCAAUGCAAGAAUUAAAAAAAAACGUGUCAUGAGAGGGGGAGAAAUGACAAGGAGAGGAGAAGAAGGAGAGAGCCGUGAGUUGAGGGGAGGCUGGAGAGGGAGGGCCGGACGCAUGACAUCAUUCCCUCAGCUUCCCUGCGCGGACAGCGCUCUGGUUUCUCCAAGUGCGCACGGCGGCUGCUGCUGAGGGAGCGACUCCUCCUGCCGUACCCAGACGCGUCCUGAGCAACCAGCGCUCCUCGGGUGGAUAUUAAAAACAAUAUUGAACCCAGACGAGGAACCCGGGAAGUGCUCCUCACUGGAGCCGCCACAGGGACGCACACAUCCAACACAAGACCCGGGGAUUAUUGCUUGUUUUAAUUAUGAAGAUGUGAGGGUUUAUAGGCUCAGAAGAAAGAAAGAAGAACUCCGAGGCUGACUAAAAGGUGCAAGUGAACCAGUAACCAGAAGAAGAAGAAGUUGAAGCCGGGGGAGCAGCUGAAGAUAUGAAGCUAAAGAGGUUUUGAAAACAACCCAGUUAGUGCCAAGCCGCCCCGCGUGAAGACCCCCCCCCACCCGACCCUCCCCGCACAGCCAGGGCCUCGCCGCUGAGGCCGGGCCACAGACCAGUCCCGCUCCGCCCCUCCCUACCCCUC